UCCUGUUCGGAGGUUUGUCAUCCUUCAUCAUCACAUCCGUCCGGCAUACUCUCACACCUCCUCGCUGGUAAACUAGUCCACCCGAAAUAAUAGUUUUAUCUUUCUCAAACCUUUAUGGUGGAAUGCUUCGAUUUUCUUAUUGUCAGAUCACUUUUCACUCAACUUACCUUUUCAUUUCUAGUAUAUAUUUGCUGACACUACAAACAAUGUCCUACUCAUUUCAAAAGAUGACUGUAAAACCCUUACGUCUGUUUCGCUCAGCUUCAAACCAUCGGAUAUAACAUUUCAUAAUUCGAAGGACAAUGGACUUCUGGCAUAUGAUGAUGAAACACAAACGGUU